rnacentral:rRNA from 1 species
UUGGUGGGGUAGUGGCCUACCAAGGCGACGACGGGUAGCCGGCCUGAGAGGGCGACCGGCCACACUGGGACUGAGACACGGCCCAGACUCCUACGGGAGGCAGCAGUGGGGAAUAUUGCGCAAUGGGCGAAAGCCUGACGCAGCGACGCCGCGUGAGGGAUGACGGCCUUCGGGUUGUAAACCUCUUUCAGCAGGGACGAAGCGCGAGUGACGGUACCUGCAGAAGAAGCACCGGCUAACUACGUGCCAGCAGCCGCGGUAAUACGUAGGGUGCGAGCGUUGUCCGGAAUUAUUGGGCGUAAAGAGCUCGUAGGCGGUUUGUCGCGUCGACUGUGGAAACCUACAGCUUAACUGUGGGCUUGCAGUCGAUACGGGCAGACUUGAGUUCGGUAGGGGAGACUGGAAUUCCUGGUGUAGCGGUGAAAUGCGCAGAUAUCAGGAGGAACACCGGUGGCGAAGGCGGGUCUCUGGGCCGAUACUGACGCUGAGGAGCGAAAGCGUGGGGAGCGAACAGGAUUAGAUACCCUGGUAGUCCACGCCGUAAACGGUGGGAACUAGGUGUGGGGGGCUUCCACGUCCUCCGUGCCGUAGCUAACGCAUUAAGUUCCCCGCCUGGGGAGUACGGGCGGCCUAUCAGCUUGUUGGUGAAGUAAUGGCUUACCAAGGCGAUGACGGGUAGCCGGCCUGAGAGGGUGACCGGCCACACUGGGACUGA